rnacentral:tRNA from 1 species
GGAGAGAUGGCUGAGCUGGUCUAAGGCGCACGCCUGGAAAGUGUGUGAACCGGAAACGGUUCCGAGGGUUCGAAUCCCUCUCUCUCCGCCA